AGCAGGUUACUGGAGAGGCAGGCAAGAAGCGUCCUUACCUUCUCUCAUUCCCCAGCUCUCAUUCUGAGCCUUUGGUCCCUGACCUUAUGGCCAUCUUGGAGGUCAGUUGUUCCCUGUGGUUGACUGAACUGCUGUUGCUGUCCACAUUCCACCCUGACCCAUUCCCUGCUUGCGCCUAGGGUGUUUUCCAGAUAGCCCAGAGUUCCAGCUUUGACAGCCUGAUGACCUCCAUUUUCAUAUGAAUGAUGCCUGCACCCCCACACCUCUGACUCAUCCUAUGGGUGUUCCAAGGCACCCAAUGCUCCACCCUUUAAUACAGUUUCUUAUGGUUGUUGUGACCCCCAACCAUAAAAUCAUUUUGUUGCUAUUUCAUGUCUGUAAUUUUGCUAGUUCAUGAACUGUAAUGUAAACAUCUGGUAUGAAGAAUAUCUGAUAUGCGACUCCUAUGAAAGGGUCGUUUGACCCCACCCCCAACCCCAAUUGGGUCACGAACAACAGGUUGAGAACUGCUGCUCUAAGGCCUUCUGUAGAAGUCCAUUCCUAUCACAGUAAGGCUGAACUCUGAAAACUAUCCAUUAGAGCUCUGGUUCUGGGUGGGGAUAAGGAUGGGAGGAGAAAGGUUGAGACCUUGGUCUGGCUGUACUGGCAACGCGGUGCUGGGCCCAUGUCUCAUACCUUGCCCUCAGCCUAUCCCUGAACUAAACAGGACCCACUGAGUCCCAGCCUCAGCAGGCUGCUUGUCUUCAGUUGAUGGUGGAUUAAUGACAGAAGGAAGCCCCGCCCCUCACUGCUGUCAAAGCCUUCAGUAAACAUGUGAAUCCUGAAACCCUAACAUUCUGAUUGCAAUCUCUACUCAUCCCUCCUUCCCUAGAGGAGCCUUUGAGGAGCCUCUUUCCUGGGGACAAAAGGCUCUCCUAGACAUGAGUGAGCAGGUAAUCGCCCAACUUGGCUUUGGGGAAAGUCAGAGUCUGACAGAGCUGAGCAUUGUCUCAUCCAGAGCUAAGGACAUGAGUCCUCUAUUUCAAGUAGGGAAACCCAGGUGGACUUUGCUCAAGAUGGUUCCCAAAAUGAGAGGCACCAACUUCAAGAAUUGCCUCCUAGGGGGAGGCACGAGCCAGAGACCAGGACCUGCAGGUCCUUUGCUGCUGGGAACUCUCCCAUUUUCAGGUUUCUAGAGCUGUCGAUAAAAUCCUGUGAACUGAGAGCGAGGAGCAGUGUAGGAAAUUGCAAUGUGUGGUUCAUGCAUUGUCUUUGAUAUCCUAGACGGAGCUCAGCUUAGAACUUUCCAAGCGCCAGUGCACAGCGUUCUAGGGAAUGGUGCUCCUUGGCUGGGUGAGCUGCCAGGCAAGUUUAAAUAUGCUGUGUGUGCCACAUUUUUAAAUUUUGUCAAGGUUUACCCACACACACACCAAUCAAAACCUUAUUGGUCUGGAAGUUGGGAUUCCGUUUUUGGUAGAUCGUGGUAGAUCUGGUACUCCUAACUCCCUGGUCCUCAGGCGGCUCCUCUGUAAAAUGAGAAAAUGUAUAUUUUUUUACUUCAUGAGAUCUUUGCUGGAAAUUAAUGAGAAGGGUCAGUGUUUGUGACUUAUGGGCUUAUUUUACAGACAAGAUGAGAGUUACCACUCUAAGAAAACAAACAGCAAGUCUCAGCAACAUAACAAGAAUACACAUUGUGAGGCAGAUGUAUAUGCAGCAGCACACUCAUACAUU
rnacentral:lncRNA from 1 species